rnacentral:rRNA from 1 species
CGCGUAGGCGGUGCGGUAAGUCACCUGUGAAACCUCCGGGCUCAACUCGGAGCCUGCAGGCGAAACUGCCGUGCUGGAGUGUGGGAGGGGUGCGUGGAAUUCCCGGUGUAGCAGUGAAAUGCGUAGAGAUCGGGAGGAACACCUGUGGCGAAAGCGGCGCACUGGACCACAACUGACGCUGAGGCGCGAAAGCUAGGGGAGCAAACAGGAUUAGAUACCCUGGUAGUCCUAGCCCUAAACGAUGGAUGCUUGGUGUAGCCGGUACCCAAUCCGGCUGUGCCGCAGCUAACGCGAUAAGCAUCCCGCCUGGGGAGUACGGUCGCAAGGCUGAA